GCGUGUAGCUCAGUUGGUUAGAGCGUCACACUGAUAAUGUGAAGGUCACUGGUUCAACUCCAGUCACGCC
rnacentral:tRNA from 1 species